rnacentral:tRNA from 1 species
UGGGGUAGCUCAGUGGUAAAGUGCUUGCCUAGCACUUGGGAUUGAGCUGGGUUCAAUCCCCAGUACCCUAA